GACGUUUUUCGACCAUAAUGACGGACAUUUGUGAGUAACAAGUAUUUUCCCCGAGUACAAUAAAGAAUUAGGACAUGUUCAUUUGUUGAUAAAGUAGGCGGUUCUUAAUAAUCAAGAUGUUGUUAUGAAAAUUUUUGCCGAUAUCCUGCAUGUUUGACCUAAUUCCUAAAACUGGUAUCGAAGUGUUUGCAAAAUUGAGAUAACCAAUAAUAUUGAGC
rnacentral:lncRNA from 1 species